rnacentral:rRNA from 1 species
UACGGGGGGGGCAAGCGUUGUUCGGAAUUACUGGGCGUAAAGGGCUCGUAGGCGGCCAACUAAGUCAGACGUGAAAUCCCUCGGCUUAACCGGGGAACUGCAUCUGAUACUGGAUGGCUUGAGUUCGGGAGAGGGAUGCGGAAUUCCAGGUGUAGCGGUGAAAUGCGUAGAUAUCAGGAAGAACACCAAUGGCGAAAGCAGCUCUCUGGGACGGUACUGACGCUGAGACGCGAAAGCGUGGGGAGCGAACAGG